GACGAACGCUGGCGGCGUGCUUAACAAAUGCAAGUCGAACGGAAAGGCCCUGCUUUUGGGGGGGGCUGGAGUGGCGAACGGGUAGUAACCACGGGAGUAACCUCCCCUGGAUUUUGGGAUAUCUUCAGGAAACUGGGAAUAAAACAGGAUUGGAGCUCCUGCUGAAGGGCGGGGGUUGGAAAGUUUCGGCGUUUGGGUAUGGACUCGCGGCUUAUCAGCUUGUUGGGGGGGUAGUGGCUUACCAAGGCUUUGACGGGUAGCCGGCCUGAGAGGGGGACGGGCCACAUUGGGACUGGGAUGCGGCCCAGACUCGUACGGGAGGCAGCAGUGGGGAAUAUUGCACAAUGGGCGGAAGCCUGAUGCAGCAACGCCGCGUGCGGGAUGACGGCCUUCGGGUUGUAAACCGCUUUCGCCUGUGACGAAGCGUGAGUGACGGUAAUGGGUAAAGAAGCACCGGCUAACUACGUG
rnacentral:rRNA from 1 species